rnacentral:rRNA from 1 species
AUUGAACGCUGGCGGCAGGCCUAACACAUGCAAGUCGAACGAGUGGUGGACGGGUGAGUAAUGUCUGGGAAACUGCCUGAUAGAGGGGGAUAACUACUGGAAACGGUAGCUAAUACCGCAUACCAUCGGAUGUGCCCAUAUGGGAUUAGCUAGUUGGUGGGGUAACGGCUCACCAAGGCGACGAUCCCUAGCUGGUCUGAGAGGAUGACCAGCCACACUGGAACUGAGACACGGUCCAGACUCCUACGGGAGGCAGCAGUGGGGAAUAUUGCACAAUGGGCGCAAGCCUGAUGCAGCCAUGCCGCGUGUAUGAAGAAGGCCUUCGGGUUGUAAAGUACUUUCAGCGGGGAGGCGUUACCCGCAGAAGAAGCACCGGCUAACUCCGUGCCAGCAGCCGCGGUAAUUC